rnacentral:rRNA from 1 species
GAGUUUGAUCCUGGCUCAGGACGAACGCUGGCGGCGUGCUUAAGACAUGCAAGUCGAGCGGGGUGAUGGGGGGAGCUUGCUUCCUGCAUGACCUAGCGGCGGACGGGUGAGUAACACGUGGAUGACCUGCCCUUGUCACCGGGAUAACUGGCCGAAAGGCCAGCUAAUACGGGAUAAGCUCACGGGAUCGCAUGGUUCUGGGAGAAAAGGGGGCCUUCGGGCUCACCGGGCAAGGAGGGGUCCGCGGCCCAUCAGCUAGUUGGUAGGGUAAAGGCCUACCAAGGCGACGACGGGUAGCCGGCCUGAGAGGGUGACCGGCCACACUGGGACUGAGACACGGCCCAGACUCCUACGGGAGGCAGCAGUCGGGAAUUUUGCACAAUGGGGGAAACCCUGAUGCAGCGACGCCGCGUGGGCGACGAAGGCCUUCGGGUCGUAAAGCCCUGUCAGUCGGGACGAAGGCCCUGACCGGAUAAUGGUCAGGGGCUGACGGUACCGGCAGAGGAAGCCCCGGCUAACUACGUGCCAGCAGCCGCGGUAAUACGUAGGGGGCGAGCGUUGUCCGGAAUCACUGGGCGUAAAGGGCGUGUAGGCGGUCUGGUAAGUCAGGAGUGAAAAUCCCGGCUCAACCGGGAGGGUGCUUCUGAAACUGCCGGGCUUGAGGGCGCGAGAGGGUGGCGGAAUUCCCGGUGUAGCGGUGAUAUGCGUAGAUAUCGGGAGGAACACCAGUGGCGAAGGCGGCCACCUGGAGCGUACC